GAUUGAACGCUGGCGGCACGCUUAACACAUGCAAGUCGAGCGGCAGCACAAUACCGGGCAACCGGUAUGGGUGGCGAGCGGCGGACGGGUGAGUAAUACGCAGGGAUCUGCCUUAAAGAGGGGGAUAACCCGGGGAAACUCGGGCUAAUACCGCAUAAUGUCUAAGGACCAAAGUAGGGGACCGCAAGGCCUUACGCUUUAAGAUGAACCUGCGUCCGAUUAGCUUGUUGGUGGGGUAAAGGCCUACCAAGGCGAUGAUCGGUAGCUGGUCUGAGAGGACGGACAGCCACACUGGGACUGAGACACGGCCCAGACUCCUACGGGAGGCAGCAGUGGGGAAUAUUGGACAAUGGGGGCAACCCUGAUCCAGCGAUGCCGCGUGUGUGAAGAAGGCCUGCGGGGUUGUAAAGC
rnacentral:rRNA from 1 species